rnacentral:lncRNA from 14 species
GGCGCCCUCUCAUGUGGUUAGAAUGUCCUCUGUGGCCUGGUCCCUGUCCACGGGUCCAGCUGGACCACCUGUUCCUGCCCUCCUCACUGGCCACCCUUUGCUUGGACAAUGCCUGUUCGUUUUGCAGGGCAGAACUUGACCUGGAUGGCACCUCUCCAGAAACCUCCUGUCUCUUUUGGGUGUCCUUUAUCAUUUUGCCACAGUAUACAGUGACUGCUUCCGUUUGUGACCCCAGGGUGCUUUAAAACUCCUUGAAGACCAGGAUCAGGUCUAGUGCACUCCUGCAUUCCCAGCAUCUGGCCUCUGCUCUGGAAUGACCUGACCAGGUGUAGGUGCUCUGGUACCUCAUGUUCUCAUGAAAGCUGUCUCGGGACACCCGGGUGUCUCUAAAGUCCGGCACACAGCAGGUGCUGCUAACACAUGUGCUGAGUCAACGAAGAAAAGAAGAAAAAAUGAUCAUGUGAUUCUGAACAAGUCACUCUAUCCUUUGGCUGUGUACACACGUGUGCGUGUGGGUGUGCAUUCAAGUUCACGUAUGCACAACAUGAGAGCCAGAAGACACCCAGUGUCCUGCUCCAGGACUCCCUUAUUUCCCUGAGACGGGUUCUCCCUGGCCCUGAGCCUAGCACGGGCAGCCAGCGCACGCCCAUGAUCCUCCUGUUUCUGCUCGCACAGCACUGGAGUUAAAGGCAGCAUGCUUUUAACAUGUGCUGGAGGGGUUGGGGAUUUAGCUCAGCGGUAGAGCGCUUGCCUAGCAAGUGCAAGGCCCUGGGUUCGGUCCCCAGCUCCGAAAAAAAAGAAAAGAAA